rnacentral:rRNA from 1 species
GCAGUCGACGGAGCACCCUUGACUGAGGUUUCGGCCAAAUGAUAGGAAUGCUUAGUGGCGGACUGGUGAGUAACGCGUGAGGAACCUGCCUUCCAGAGGGGGACAACAGUUGGAAACGACUGCUAAUACCGCAUGACGCAUGACCGGGGCAUCCCGGGCAUGUCAAAGAUUUUAUCGCUGGAAGAUGGCCUCGCGUCUGAUUAGCUAGAUGGUGGGGUAACGGCCCACCAUGGCGACGAUCAGUAGCCGGACUGAGAGGUUGACCGGCCACAUUGGGACUGAGAUACGGCCCAGACUCCUACGGGAGGCAGCAGUGGGGAAUAUUGGGCAAUGGACGCAAGUCUGACCCAGCAACGCCGCGUGAAGGAAGAAGGCUUUCGGGUUGUAAACUUCUUUUGUCAGGGAAGAGUAGAAGACGGUACCUGACGAAUAAGCCACGGCUAACUACGUGCCAGCAGCCGCGGUAAUACGUAGGUGGCAAGCGUUGUCCGGAUUUACUGGGUGUAAAGGGCGUGCAGCCGGGCCGGCAAGUCAGAUGUGAAAUCUGGAGGCUUAACCUCCAAACUGCAUUUGAAACUGUAGGUCUUGAGUACCGGAGAGGUUAUCGGAAUUCCUUGUGUA